AGCAGCCGCGGUAAUUCCAGCUCCAAUAGCGUAUAUUAAAGUUGUUGCAGUUAAAAAGCUCGUAGUUGAAUUUCGGGGUCAGUAGAUUGGUCGUGCCACUGGUAUGUACUGGUCUUACUGGCUCCUCCUUCCUGAUGAACCGUAAUGCCAUUAAUUUGGUGUUGCGGGGAGACUGGACUGUUACUUUGAAAAAUUAGAGUGUUUAAAGCAGGCUAACGCUUGAAUACAUUAGCAUGGAAUAAUGAAAUAGGACGUUCGAUCUUAUUUUGUUGGUUUCUAAGAUUGACGUAAUGAUUAAUAGGGAUAGUUGGGGGCAUUAGUAUUCAAUUGUCAGAGGUGAAAUUCUUGGAUUUAUUGAAGACUAACUACUGCGAAAGCAUUUGCCAAGGAUGUUUUCAUUAAUCAAGAACGAAAGUUAGGGGAUCGAAGACGAUCAGAUACCGUCGUAGUCUUAACCAUAAACUAUGCCGACUAG
rnacentral:misc_RNA from 1 species